ensembl:snRNA
GUGUGUAUGAAAAGAGGGAAGGUUAGCAUUCCCAUUGACAAGGAUGGAAGAGACCCUCUGGCCUAACAACGUGCAUAUGGUUAAGGUAUUACCACCUGUUUUGUGGCAUCUAACCAUCGUUUUUA